ACUUCAGUCUUCUCCUCAGCACAGAAACCACCCAGCGUAGAGAACACCAGUGCAUACAUACAAUCUCCACUUCCAUGUUGAACUGUGUUGCAAAGAUAGCCACUCCUGGAGCCACAGGGAAGACACCAUAUAGAAACGCAUAGUUGGACAGGCUUGUAUGGUUCACUACGCUGUCCCCCUUGUCCAGGAGUUCCACCAUUUCUCUGCACAGGAGGGGCAGCACCAGGCUGGAGACAGAAAAGAUACAGAAUGUACUUUAACACCAAUGCCUGUCUGUCCCUGCUUGCAACAGCACGGCAUUUCCCAAGUCACCUGUGAACUGGGAAGCUGAGGAGCCAAUGCAGCCUUAAGAAGGAUGUUCCUUCCAACUCAUUAUCAAUACUCUUCCAUGGACACGACAGUGGGAAUUCCUAGGAGAGGUUGUAAAGCAAAGCAAAAGAAAGGUCUCUCUUCUCUACUCACCAUGAACAGAGGGGAAGGCAGAUGGACACAGACGCUAUUAACAAAUGCCCCAUUAGGGAGCAGACAUUUAGAAUAAUGUUCUGUAGCACAUCUUCCAUUUCACAGGCAGAUGAGAAAGCUGCCUAUAUGACUGGCUUUUAAUAAAGCGAUGCUCC
rnacentral:lncRNA from 1 species